rnacentral:sRNA from 1 species
UUGCUAUCUGCGAUAUGGAAGAUUCGAACCUGCCGCAGGUUCGGGUCGAACACAGUGAGACAACGGAGCCGUUUACGGCGACGGCCCGAAGGGCGAGCGAAGCGAGUCAUCCUGCACGACCCACCA